rnacentral:lncRNA from 1 species
UUAAGCGUGUUCUUUUACACGUAGAGUCUGUGAUCAAUAUGUACAACUAGUCUUCAAUUCUCCUUUGAAGAAAAAAUAAGUCCUCAAUUCAAACUUUUAACUAAGAGUUGAUGCUAACGACAAAAAAAAUUAUGCAACACAUUAAUCAAAUAAUUAACGAUUCCAUGUGUAGCUCGUGCCUAAUUAAACGGUUAUCUUCAAAACGAAUGUUGGGUUCUCUAGAUUUUUUUCCUAUGGAAUUUAUGCCUUUGAAAAUAAUCACCAUUGCUAAUUAAACGGGAAUCAAAGUCUAUAAUACGUGUGAAUCAAAUCUUUCACACAAUCCCCACAAAAAAUAUAUGAACAAAGCAUUACAUCAGUAUAUGAUGGUAGCUCAUGAUCAUGUCAUUUCCUCACAAUAGUAUGUGAACC